rnacentral:rRNA from 1 species
CCUUAACCUGCUAAAUAGCCCGGCUGGCUUUUGCAAGUCGCAGGCUUCUUAGAGGGACUAUCUACUCAAGUGGAUGGAAGUUUGAGGCAAUAACAGGUCUGUGAUGCCCUUAGAUGUCCUGGGCUGCACGCGCGCUACACUGACAGAGCCAACGAGUUCAUCACCUUGGCCGGAAGGUUUGGGUAAUCUUGUUAAACUCUGUCGUGCUGGGGAUAGGGCAUUGCAAUUAUUGCCCUUCAACGAGGAAUGCCUAGUAAGCGUAUGUCAUCAGCAUGCGUUGAUUACGUCCCUGCCCUUUGUACACACCGCCCGUCGCUACUACCGAUUGAACGGCUCAGUGAGGCCUUCGGAUUGGCUCAGACUGUCGGCAACGAUGGUCAGAGCCGAAAAGUUGGUCAAACUUGGUCGUUUAGAGGAAGUAAAAGUCG